rnacentral:rRNA from 1 species
UGCGGAGGAUCAUUACCAAGAGAAAUCUUUCAACACUGAAAGAUCUUUUCCUUUGUGCUGGCUUUGACCGUAUGUAAUUUUGGGACUUUAAAAUGGUUCGCAAGGGCCGGUCCCAAAAACAAUAUAUCAUCCUUAUGAAAUUUUUUCUGAACAAUUAAACAAAUGAUUUUAAUAAUCUGUUUAAAACAACUUUCAACAACGGAUCUCUUGGUUCUCGCAUCGAUGAAGAACGCAGCGAAAUGCGAUACGUAAUGUGAAUUGCAGAAUUCAGUGAAUCAUCGAAUCUUUGAACGCACAUUGCACUCCUUGGUAUUCCGAGGAGUAUGCCUGUUUCAGUAUCAUGAGCACUCUCACACCUAACCUUUGGGUUUAUGGCGUGGAAUUGGAAUGCGCCGACUGUCAUGGUUGGCCCUUCUAAAAUGUAGUUCUUGGCUGUCACCUAAUACAGCAGUUUGGCCUAAUAGUUUUGGCAUUCAUUGUCAAAUCUUUGGCUAACAUUUGCUCCAGGAGUCAGUCUUGAUAAUACAGAAAACUCAUUCAAAUUUUGAUCUGAAAUCAGGUAGGGCUACCCGCUGAACUUAAGCAUAUCAAUAAGCGGAGGAAAAGAAACUAACAAGGAUUCCCCUAGUAACGGCGAGUGAAGCGGGAAGAGCUCAAAUUUAAAAUCUGGUUUGCUUUGCAAAUCCGAGUUGUAGUCUGAAGAAACGUUUUCCAUGAAAGCUGAGGCACAAGUCCUUUGGAACAGGGCAUCAUAGAGGGUGAGAAUCCCGUCCAUGGUCUCAAGCCUUUCAUUUUGUGAUACGUUUUCUAAGAGUCAGGUUGUUUGGGAAUGCAGCCUAAAAUGGGUGGUAAAUUUCAUCUAAAGCUAAAUAUUGGCGAGAGACCGAUAGCGAACAAGUACCGUGAGGGAAAGAUGAAAAGAACUUUGAAAAGAGAGUUAAAAAGUACGUGAAAUUGUUGAAAGGGAACCGUUUGAAGCCAGUCUUGCUUGCUUGUGAUCAAUCUUUGCUUCGGCUUGGAUGCACUCUCAGGUUAUGCAGGUCAACGUCAGUUUGAGAGGUGGGAAAAAAGCUUGAGGAAUGUGGCCUUCGGGUGUUAUAGCCUCUUGCUAAAUACCAUCUUUUGGACUGAGGCUCGCAGCAAAAAUGUGGGCAGGUUUGCGUUUGAGGUGAUACAUUAUUAAGACAGCUUGCUGACUUAGUUUUGUCUAUCUUCACUGUAAGC